AUUGCUUCUCAGUCUUUUGGCUAAGAUCAUGUGUAGUAUUUAGUGGUACCGGGGAUAGAACCCAGGGAAUCCCUACCACUGAGCUAAAGCUUCAGCCCUAUUUUUUAUUUAUUUAUUUAUUUAUUUAUUUAUUUAUUUAUGGUACUGGGGAUUGAAUUUAGGGGCAUUUCAGUACUGAGCUACAUCCCCAGCCCUUUU
rnacentral:snRNA from 1 species